AGUCGAACGGACCCUUCGGGGUUAGUGGCGGACGGGUGAGUAACACGUGGGAACGUGCCUUUAGGUUCGGAAUAGCUCCUGGAAACGGGUGGUAAUGCCGAAUGUGCCCUUCGGGGGAAAGAUUUAUCGCCUUUAGAGCGGCCCGCGUCUGAUUAGCUUGUUGGUGAGGUAAUGGCUCACCAAGGCUACGAUCAGUAGCUGGUCUGAGAGGAUGACCAGCCACAUUGGGACUGAGACACGGCCCAAACUCCUACGGGAGGCAGCAGUGGGGAAUCUUGCGCAAUGGGCGAAAGCCUGACGCAGCCAUGCCGCGUGAAUGAUGAAGGUCUUAGGAUUGUAAAAUUCUUUCACCGGGGACGAUAAUGACGGUACCCGGAGAAGAAGCCCCGGCUAACUUCGUGCCAGCAGCCGCGGUAAUACGAAGGGGGCUAGCGUUGCUCGGAAUUACUGGGCGUAAAGGGAGCGUAGGCGGACAUUUAAGUCAGGGGUGAAAUCCCGGGGCUCAACCUCGGAACUGCCCUUGAUACUGGAUGUCUUGAGUGUGAGAGAGGUAUGUGGAACUCCGAGUGUAGAGGUGAAAUUCGUAGAUAUUCGGAAGAACGCCAGUGGCGAAGGCGACAUACUGGCUCAUUACUGACGCUGAGGCUCGAAAGCGUGGGGAGCAAACAGGAUUAGAUACCCUGGUAGUCCACGCCGUAAACGGUGAUUGCUAGUUGUCGGGAUGCAUGCAUUUCGGUGACGCAGCUAACGCA
rnacentral:rRNA from 1 species